AACAAGAUAUGACCCUGCCUGUGUCUGAUGUGAGAAGCUGGAGCUGGCAGGGACCUCCAGAAAACUGAAAGCCUUAACUGAGGCAUCAUGCAUUUGCCCCUAGGGCCCAGCCCCUAAUGGGAAGCCAUCCCUCUGCCCUGGGGGUGAGGACCCUGGAACCAGGGGUGUCCGUCCAUCGCAGCCCCUCUGCAGCCUCUGGACUUGACAAUGGCAUUACUGCUCCCUGAUGCCCCCUGACUUGUAUUAUAGUUAAUGGCAACCAGGACUCACCUGCCCGCCCCACUAGACUCUGUGCUCUCUCAGCACGACAUCUGAGUGUCUGCUCCUCUACCUUGAAUCAUCUCUUCUUUGAAGGUCUUCUCAUUUCCUCUCUGUCACCAAGUCUAAACCAGGGUCCAGACUGCAACUACCCCUCCCUAUCCCUACCCGUUCGUCCUGACCCCCUUGGACUGCUGCCCCCUCGAGCCUCCUCCAGCACCUGCUGCCUUAUAUCUGCUGCCCUUCACUCUCCGGCAUCUCCUGGAAUCACAGGCAGAAGUGGUCUGCACGUGGGCACAG
ensembl:lncRNA